GUGCUCGCUUCAGCAGCACAUAUACCAAAAUUGGAAUGAUACAGAGAUUAGCAUGCCCUGUGCAGGGAUGACACAGAAAUUCAGGAAGCGUUCCAUAUUUUG
ensembl:snRNA U6 U6 spliceosomal RNA